ACAGUUGGGGGAAGCCGGUGAUGCAGUAGCAACGCAAAAUCACGCUGUCUCUCCGUGUGUACGCAAUGGACCCGGGCGGGUUCAGAUAUGCAUUUGCACUCCACACAAUCACCUCGAUGCCUCGUGUCUACCAAAGAUCCUCGGUGUCUACUCCAAAUGGAUGAGCUGACCUGUCAUGCUUCUCUGACGUGAAAGAAAGAAAAAAUGUUCUGCUGCAAAUGUUUCAAAUUUUGAAAGGAAAGCUUCACUGUCACAUGCCAGAAGCAGGACUUCCUUCAAAAAAAUUGACUGUCACCAAGUCUUGAGGACUAAGACAUCACAUAUCGUCUGUGCCAUCGUCCGCAUUUGAAGAAAGAACAAAGUUAUUAAUUUUGCAUAUUUCUGACUUCAGGUUGUCCUAAAAUCCAUCAGAGCCAGAGUCCUGUUUAUAGUUACAAACUGUUUAUCCUUUGCUGAAUAAAGAGAAAGUGAAA